rnacentral:antisense_RNA from 1 species
CGCAAAAAAAGGGGACGGAGGGAAUCAAGUCGUUUGUGCCGUCAACGACUUAAUUCCCUCCGUCCCCUUUUUUCUUC